rnacentral:rRNA from 1 species
CGUAGGGUGCGAGCGUUAAUCGGAAUUACUGGGCGUAAAGCGUGCGCAGGCGGUCUUGCAAGACAGGUGUGAAUCCCCGGGCUUAACCUGGGACUGCACUUGUGACUGCAAGGCUGGAGUACGGCAGAGGGGGAUGGAAUUCCGCGUGUAGCAGUGAAAUGCGUAGAUAGUGCGGAGGAACACCGAUGGCGAAGGCAAUCCCCUGGGCCUGUACUGACGCUCAUAGCACGAAAGCGUGGGGAGCAAACAGGAUU